UGGGGAAUAUUGGACAAUGGGGGGAACCCUGAUCCAGCCAUGCCGCGUGGGGGAAGAAGGCCUUAUGGUUGUAAAGCACUUUAAGCGAGGAGAAGGGUACUGGUAUUAAUACUACCAGGUACUGGACGUUACUCGAAGAAUAAGCACCGGCUAACUCUGUGCCAGCAGCCGCGGUAAUACAGAGGGUGCGAGCGUUAAUCGGAUUUACUGGGCGUAAAGCGUGCGUAGGCGGCUAAUUGAGUCGGAUGUGAAAUCCCCGAGCUUAACUUGGGAAUUGCAUUCGAUACUGGUUAGCUAGAGUGUGGGAGAGGAUGGUAGAAUUCCAGGUGUAGCGGUGAAAUGCGUAGAGAUCUGGAGGAAUACCGAUGGCGAAGGCAGCCAUCUGGCCUAAUACUGACGCUGAGGUACGAAAGCAUGGGGAGCAAACAGG
rnacentral:rRNA from 1 species